rnacentral:sRNA from 1 species
UCUAAACUAUAGUUCACGAAUGCAAAUUGUAUUAUUUAGACAUUAAGGCGCCAAAUUCAAAAAAAUGUGAUAAACAUAGUUUUACGUUUGUAAAGCAUGGUAUAAUUGACAGUUAACUAUAGUUUAGAACCGAAAACUAUAAUUAACAAUUGUAAAACAUAGUUUAUCUGUGUUUUCACGAUUGUGAAACUAUAUUUAUCAACUGUAAACUAUUGUUUACGAAUGUAAACUAUAGUUUACGAAUGUAAACUAUAGUUUACAGAUGUGAAUCUAUAUUUAUCAGCAAAAUCUAUUGUUAACGUUUAUUUCCAGACAGAAAAACAUAGAUUUGCAUUCGUAAACUAUAGUUUACAGAUGUGAAAUAUAGAUUAAUGUCGGUAACUAUAGUUUAGGAUCCGUAACUUAUAUAUAGUUAACAGCCGAUAAACCUAGUUUAUCGACUGUGAAACUAUGUUUUGCUAAUUUAUGUGAAUUUGGCGUGCUUUAGAUUUGUAAACCGUAGUUUACUGAUCAUAAAACCCUAUUUAUGAGAUAAACUAUGUUUAACAACCGCAAAUGAUUCUAUAGUUUACAGAUGUGAAACAUAGAUUAUCGCGUUAACUAUGGUUUACAGAUGUGAAAUAUAGAUUAACGUCGGUAACUUUAGUUUACGAUCCGUAAACCAUAGUUAACAGUCGAAAAAAAACCCCUAGUUUAUCGACUGUGAAAUUAUGUUUAGCUCAUUUUUGUGAAUUUGGCGUGCCAUAUUUUUAUCAACAAACAUGUCCAGGAGAAUCUUCGCGAGCCCUGCAUGUGUUUUGUUUACAGUAAAUACGCAUGCGUAAUAGUAUAGAAGGCUGGACCCCGUAACACGUUGCGAUUUAAAUAUGUGAUAGGUUAUGCGUAAUUAUUGAUUUUAAUGAAAUAAUUAGAUUUAUUUCAUAGAGAAUUUUGUAAUUUUCUGAAAGUUUAUACAUUCAUGAGUAGUACAAAAAUACCGAACCUGAUCAGAAAUUUUUUUCAAGUCGGUUUUUUGAUAAGAUGCGCCGUACUGUCUCUUUAAAGUUGUAUUGUUAGAACAUACUGUUUUAAAAACAGGAAAAAUAAGGGAAUUCGCUGAAAACGUACGUGUAAGGAAAAAAGGGGGUAGAUACAUAUACUUCAAACUAUGCACAUUUUAAGAUUGAAUAUGGCGAAUCCGAUUAAGUAAAAAUUCUUUUUAUUGCUGCAUAACUUUUUGUAAUAUUUUUGUUCUAAAAAUAGACUGUCUUGAAAAACAUGUAAUAAAAAUUCAUUUUGAAAC